GUGGGGAAUUUUGGACAAUGGGGGAAACCCUGACCCAGCGACGCCGCGUGAGGGAAGACGGCCUUCGGGUUGUAAACCUCUUUUGUACGGGAAGAAGGAAGUGACGGUACUGUACGAAUAAGUCCCGGCUAACUACGUGCCAGCAGCCGCGGUAAUACGUAGGGGACGAGCGUUGUCCGGAAUUACUGGGCGUAAAGGGCGCGCAGGCUGUGCUGCAAGUCAGCUGUGAAAUGUCUGGGCUUAACCCGGGCAUGCGGUUGAGACUGCAGUGCUGGAGUGCUGUAGAGGCAAGUGGAAUUCCCAGUGUAGCGGUGAAAUGCGUAGAUAUUGGGAAGAACACCGGUGGCGAAGGCGACUUGCUGGGCAGCAACUGACGCUGAGGCGCGAAAGCCAGGGGAGCAAACGGGAUUAGAAACCCGUGUAGUCC
rnacentral:rRNA from 1 species